UGCCAACAUCAGACAAGUCGAACGACAAGAGAAGUCCGACGGACGACAAUUUAAUACAAUAUGCAGAUGAGGUAACACAAAAUUCCCUUUUCAUUCUAUUUGCGAAACAUACACCAUGAAGCCCAGGAGGCCAAGGGAGGAAAAGCAAAACGACAAAAGCGAGACAAAACAAUAAAAGAGAAAAUGUACACAUGAAAAGACAGAAGGCUAGAAAGAGCCCUAGGGAAGCUCUGCUCCUUCCGACCUAGAA
rnacentral:lncRNA from 1 species